AGCCACCAGCGAGAUUCGAACUCGCGACCCCUGGUUAACGAGACCAGUGCUCUAACCUCUGAGCUAUGGUGGC
rnacentral:tRNA from 1 species